rnacentral:rRNA from 1 species
AGUAGCGGCGAGCGAACGGGGAGCAGCCCAGAGCCUGAAUCAGUGUGUGUGUUAGUGGAAGCGUCUGGAAAGGCGCGCGAUACAGGGUGACAGCCCCGUACACAAAAAUGCACAUGCUGUGAGCUCGAUGAGUAGGGCGGGACACGUGGUAUCCUGUCUGAAUAUGGGGGGACCAUCCUCCAAGGCUAAAUACUCCUGACUGACCGAUAGUGAACCAGUACCGUGAGGGAAAGGCGAAAAGAACCCCGGCGAGGGGAGUGAAAAAGAACCUGAAACCGUGUACGUACAAGCAGUGGGAGCACGCUUAGGCGUGUGACUGCGUACCUUUUGUAUAAUGGGUCAGCGACUUAUAUUCUGUAGCAAGGUUAACCGAAUAGGGGAGCCGAAGGGAAACCGAGUCUUAACUGGGCGUUAAGUUGCAGGGUAUAGACCCGAAACCCGGUGAUCUAGCCAUGGGCAGGUUGAAGGUUGGGUAACACUAACUGGAGGACCGAACCGACUAAUGUUGAAAAAUUAGCGGAUGACUUGUGGCUGGGGGUGAAAGGCCAAUCAAACCGGGAGAUAGCUGGUUCUCCCCGAAAGCUAUUUAGGUAGCGCCUCGUGAAUUCAUCUCCGGGGGUAGAGCACUGUUUCGGCAAGGGGGUCAUCCCGACUUACCAACCCGAUGCAAACUGCGAAUACCGGAGAAUGUUAUCACGGGAGACACACGGCGGGUGCUAACGUCCGUCGUGAAGAGGGAAACAACCCAGACCGCCAGCUAAGGUCCCAAAGUCAUGGUUAAGUGGGAAACGAUGUGGGAAGGCCCAGACAGCCAGGAUGUUGGCUUAGAAGCAGCCAUCAUUUAAAGAAAGCGUAAUAGCUCACUGGUCGAGUCGGCCUGCGCGGAAGAUGUAACGGGGCUAAACCAUGCACCGAAGCUGCGGCAGCGACGCUUAUGCGUUGUUGGGUAGGGGAGCGUUCUGUAAGCCUGCGAAGGUGUGCUGUGAGGCAUGCUGGAGGUAUCAGAAGUGCGAAUGCUGACAUAAGUAACGAUAAAGCGGGUGAAAAGCCCGCUCGCCGGAAGACCAAGGGUUCCUGUCCAACGUUAAUCGGGGCAGGGUGAGUCGACCCCUAAGGCGAGGCCGAAAGGCGUAGUCGAUGGGAAACAGGUUAAUAUUCCUGUACUUGGUGUUACUGCGAAGGGGGGACGGAGAAGGCUAUGUUGGCCGGGCGACGGUUGUCCCGGUUUAAGCGUGUAGGCUGGUUUUCCAGGCAAAUCCGGAAAAUCAAGGCUGAGGCGUGAUGACGAGGCACUACGGUGCUGAAGCAACAAAUGCCCUGCUUCCAGGAAAAGCCUCUAAGCAUCAGGUAACAUCAAAUCGUACCCCAAACCGACACAGGUGGUCAGGUAGAGAAUACCAAGGCGCUUGAGAGAACUCGGGUGAAGGAACUAGGCAAAAUGGUGCCGUAACUUCGGGAGAAGGCACGCUGAUAUGUAGGUGAAGUCCCUCGCGGAUGGAGCUGAAAUCAGUCGAAGAUACCAGCUGGCUGCAACUGUUUAUUAAAAACACAGCACUGUGCAAACACGAAAGUGGACGUAUACGGUGUGACGCCUGCCCGGUGCCGGAAGGUUAAUUGAUGGGGUCAGCGCAAGCGAAGCUCUUGAUCGAAGCCCCGGUAAACGGCGGCCGUAACUAUAACGGUCCUAAGGUAGCGAAAUUCCUUGUCGGGUAAGUUCCGACCUGCACGAAUGGCGUAAUGAUGGCCAGGCUGUCUCCACCCGAGACUCAGUGAAAUUGAACUCGCUGUGAAGAUGCAGUGUACCCGCGGCAAGACGGAAAGACCCCGUGAACCUUUACUAUAGCUUGACACUGAACAUUGAGCCUUGAUGUGUAGGAUAGGUGGGAGGCUUUGAAGUGUGGACGCCAGUCUGCAUGGAGCCGGCCUUGAAAUACCACCCUUUAAUGUUUGAUGUUCUAACGUUGACCCGUAAUCCGGGUUGCGGACAGUGUCUGGUGGGUAGUUUGACUGGGGCGGUCUCCUCCUAAAGAGUAACGGAGGAGCACGAAGGUUGGCUAAUCCUGGUCGGACAUCAGGAGGUUAGUGCAAUGGCAUAAGCCAGCUUGACUGCGAGCGUGACGGCGCGAGCAGGUGCGAAAGCAGGUCAUAGUGAUCCGGUGGUUCUGAAUGGAAGGGCCAUCGCUCAACGGAUAAAAGGUACUCCGGGGAUAACAGGCUGAUACCGCCCAAGAGUUCAUAUCGACGGCGGUGUUUGGCACCUCGAUGUCGGCUCAUCACAUCCUGGGGCUGAAGUAGGUCCCAAGGGUAUGGCUGUUCGCCAUUUAAAGUGGUACGCGAGCUGGGUUUAGAACGUCGUGAGACAGUUCGGUCCCUAUCUGCCGUGGGCGCUGGAGAACUGAGGGGGGCUGCUCCUAGUACGAGAGGACCGGAGUGGACGCAUCACUGGUGUUCGGGUUGUCAUGCCAAUGGCACUGCCCGGUAGCUAAAUGCGGAAGAGAUAAGUGCUGAAAGCAUCUAAGCACGAAACUUGCCCCGAGAUGAGUUCUCCCUGACUCCUUGAGAGUCCUGAAGGAACGUUGAAGACGACGACGUUGAUAGGCCGGGUGUGUAAGCGCAGCGAUGCGUUGAGCUAACCGGUACUAAUGAACCGUGAGGCUUAACCUU